UUUCAAAAUUCACAGAAGAAGGAACAUAACUCUCCUUUUCAUUUCUUCUCUUAUUUCCUUAACCCUAAAAAUUUAUGAGCGACGGCAGAUUCACGGGGAGAAGAAAAUCACAAAUGGGACGGUAGAAAGAAAGGGUGACACAAGUUGUAACACAAGUCUGGUCAAGGUCACUUCGUCCUUCAAACCCAUUCUAUUUUUUCAUUCUUCCUCCUAUGUAUAUUUACAUAUCUCAUCCCUUGUUCCUUUUAUUAAGUAGACUAUAGGAGUUUCAGCCACCACCACCAAAAAGGCAUUAUUGAGGUGGUUGUUGAGGCCAUUUCUUCAAUUUCAAAUCAUCAACCAUAAAAAUAUGUGUCACCAUCAAAAUCAAAUAUCCUAGAAACAUCCUUACAUGCUCCCUGUGGGAGGCUUAUGGUACACAAUUCCUCAAUUAUGUUAAUUCUCACCCCAACUAUGGUCUCAUCAUGCACAAGUCAAGCUUCUAUAAGGAAACAACGCAUACACAAUCACUAAUGUAUGAAGUGGAAUUAAACUUCUUAUUAAUAAAGACACACACCAAAUCAAGGAAUACAUCAAUUAAUUACGUGCAAUAGAUGAUCUAGAUAACUACAUUCAGGGAAGCCAACUAGAAAUCCAUAUCACAUUUUCAUCUCAAUACACUUCGCAAGAAAAGUUUAUGUGCAAUGCUCGAGCUAAAACUUUUCGCCAAAUCAAGACUAUUGGACAUGUAAAAUAAUUUCAUAACAUUAUUUUUGUGUAUAUUAAUACAUUAUUUUAUUGUUACAAAUUUUUUAAUUUCAACAUGGUUUUUAGGAAAUGAUGUGUGUCAUUGUGGCAACUGUAUCAAAGGUUGUGUCGGAUAAAUUCAGUUGGUUUUAUUUUGGUUGCACUAAUUGAACAGUCAAAACUAAAGAAGGUAUUACAUAUUAUCAAUG